UUGGCUAACAAUACAAAUUCAUGGUUAUUGUAAUUCAAGGAUUAGUUGAAACAGUUAUGAUAAAACAUAAUAUAUCAACUGCAUCUAUCAGAAAACGUUAUGAAAAAAUACAUAAAAUGGCUCACUAUAAUAUGAUUCUUAAGUCCGAUCGAAAGUCUUUUGUACAAAAAUGAAACCAGUUACUUAAAUUACUAGAAUAAAAGCGAUGUGAUUCAUUGGAGUUUUAAGCAACAAUAUACAAUGCUGCAAAAAAGGACAAAUCAAUUUUAACCAUAGCAUAAAGGGUGAGUAUUGGCACGCAAAGAAUACACUUAAAUGUAAUGGAGUCAUCUGACACUUAUACAAGGUGAAACGGAACCAAAGUCAUCGUUUCCGCUGUAUAAACAGAAAAACCGUAUAUCGAAACGCGUUUUCAAGGAAACCUCCGAUCGAUCUCGGAAAUGGCUUAUUGGUGAUUAUAACCAUUAGAAUAAUGUGUUCUUCAAAUACAUUGGUUAGAUUUGUUACAGGUGCUUACAAUUUACAACAAUAAUCAAUGAGAGAUAGAAUAAGUAUAAAGUAGGUGCGAGUAGGUAUAAUAAUAUUUAUAUAAUAAAUGAGCAAUCAUUAUUCCUAAUAUAAAAUCGUUUA